rnacentral:rRNA from 1 species
UGCCUAGAACAUAGCAUUAAUGCAACAGAUCCCAUUAGAACUCCGUAGUUAAGCAUGCUCGGGCUAGAUUAGUACUAGGAUGGGUGACCACUUGGGAAGUCCUAUUGUUUUACAUGC